rnacentral:rRNA from 1 species
UACAGAGGUCUCAAGCGUUGUUCGGAUUCAUUGGGCGUAAAGGGUGCGUAGGCGGUCUGUUGCGUCCGCUGUGAAAACUCGGGGCUUAACCCCGAGCCUGCAGUGGAUACGGGCAGACUAGAGGUAGGUAGGGGAGAAUGGAAUUCCUGGUGUAGCGGUGAAAUGCGCAGAUAUCAGGAGGAACACCAAUGGCGAAGGCAGCUCGCUGGGACGUGACUGACGCUGAGACGCGAAAGCGUGGGGAGCAAACAGG